GCUCCCUUACAAUGCCUCCAUCCCAGGUGGGCUGUACCCAUCCAAGGUCAUCACUGUGUUAGGCACUGUCAAGGAUGGUGCUCACAGCUUCAUCAUUGAGCUGUGCACUGAGAGUGACAUCGCCUUCCAAAUGAAGCCUGAUUUUGAUGGAAAGGCAGUGAUCUGCAACACUCGGAUCCAGGGCAACUGGGGGUCAGCGGAGCGAAUCCCACCCAUAAAUAUGCUUUUCAGAUGAGGAAAGAGCUUCAAGGUGCAGAUCCUAUGCGAAACCCAGGGCUACAAGGUGAUGGUGGACGGCCAACUCCUGCUGCAGUAUGCCCACCACCUGACGCGCCUGUCGGCCAUUGGUCAGGUGAAAGUGGAUGGUGAUCUUGAGCUUACUUCGGUGAAAGUCUAAGUGGGCUCCCUGGCCCAGUGUACCUCUGUGUGUGUCUCUUCCCGCUUGUCUUCCAUGAGCUACACCAGCCUCCGGAGCCCUGACCUCUGAGCAGAGGCUGCCGCUCACUGUAACAGCAGGCAAACCUCCAGCUCCAUUUCUCCUCGUCCUGUGGGGUCCUGAGCCUGCUGAGCCCCAGCGGAGGCCUACAUUGCAUGUGGCCCUCAAUCACCCUCCCAUCCUCUGUGCAACCCCACUUGGGUUCCAAACCACAGCUGUGCACUGCAGUAAGGAGGAGACCUGCAGGGCCUUCCCACUCUUGUGACCUUAACCUCUGUCCAUGGCUUUGCACCCUGCUGCCCCCCAACCCCUCUGGGAAGGCUGCUCUGGUGCCAUCCCGUGGGCUUGUACCAACUGACCAGAACUUUCUCAGCGAGGGCUCUCCCUUCCCUGGCAUCCUUAAAAUAAA